rnacentral:ncRNA from 1 species
UACCUGGUUGAUCCUGCCAGUAGUCAUAUGCUUGUCUCAAAGAUUAAGCCAUGCAAGUCUAAGUACGAGCUCUCGUACAGUGAAACUGCAAAUGGCUCAUUAAAUCAGUUAUGGUUCAUUUGAUCGUACAGUUUACUUGGAUAACUGUGGUAAUUCUAGAGCUAAUACAUGCGAGAAGCGCCGACCUCGCGGGAGGCGUGCAUUUAUCAGACCAAAAACCGGCCGCGUCUUCGGGCGCGUUCGCCUUGGUGACUCUGGAUAACUUUGCGGAUCGCACGGUCUAGCACCGGCGACGGAUCAUUCAAGUGUCUGCCCUAUCAACUUUCGUCGGUACGGUAUUUGCCUACCGAGGUUCUUACGGGUGACGGGGAAUCAGGGUUCGAUUCCGGAGAGGGAGCCUGAGAAACGGCUACCACAUCCAAGGAAGGCAGCAGGCGCGCAAAUUACCCAUUCCCGACGCGGGGAGGUAGUGACGAAAAAUAACAAUGC